ensembl:lncRNA
AUGUGCUCCUGGGGAGGACGGGACUCCUGACCCAGGUGUGUGCUGAUGAUAAUGAUGUGGUGUUGAGGGCCCCCUCCCUGGUCCACCUCUGGCCUCCUGUGCAAUGAAGUGAGAGUGAGGAGAGGGCAGAGGAGGGCAGCAGGCUCUGGCUGCAGGAACUCCUGGGUCUUGAUAGAAGCAGAGCAGGGCAUGAACUCAGUUCACCUGCCCCUCCACACUGUCCAUCAGCUGGGAAGCAGAUUAAGGUGCCUGCACCUUGGGGACACUCUGCUGGAAAGAUCUCUCCACCAGCACAGCAGGUCUUUGGGCCUCGAAUGGCCAAUUAGGUGAAGUUGUUUGUGUUCUGGCCUCUAAAGUGUCCUGGGACUUCGGCUUCUACUGUGUCCCCUGUGGCCACCCUUUUUCUGACCCUUCUCACCUGCAGGGCUGGGAACCGAACCCGGAAAUUCCUCUGAACCCCAGAGCAAUGAACAGGAGAAAUCCAAGCAAUGAAGAUGUGGCAAAGGAAAAAAAGAAACUUUAACCGGUGUAAAAACCUCAGUCUUAUCUAGAACCGGAUGGAUUCUCUACAGACGUGUGUGCGUGCUGUUGCUAGGUCGUAUCUGACUCUUUGUGACCUCCAUGGACUGUAGCCUGCCAGGCUCUUC